AUAUGGGAUUUGAACCUCAGAUUCGC
rnacentral:piRNA from 1 species